AGGAAAUAGAGGCGACCGGUGUGAGAAAAAUUGAUCGUUAUCUUUUGCGUCCAAUUCAAAGACCGUAUGAAAGUGAUACGUCGUUUUCUACGCUCGGGAAUCUGUCGGUCGUAUCAGAUAAGAUUACAUCGAUCGCCGUAGUCACACGUUUAUUCAAUACUUUUCGCGAACCUUACCAAAGCCGUUGGGCUUACCGCUUCAUUUACCUUACGUAAGAAAUCAAAAAUAUUUAUACGGUGAAAAUUGAUAAGUUGCUCGGUGAGGAGAGAAAAAAAAAUUUAUAUGUGGGUAUACGCGCAUACACGUCGGACCGAUCGAUGCUCCGAUCUGAUCGUAAUUGCGUAAGUUACACCAAACAAAGGGAGCUCAACAAUCAUGUAAAGCGGUAGGGAUACUAUAAAGAUGAAAACGAAAUCGCCCAGGAAAUCUCGUAUCUGAAACAAAAUCAUGAUAAAUUUGACGAUACGAAUGUACCGAUAAGCAUAACACCGCGGAUGAUCGUACGAGAUACGGUCAACGGAAUCAAGAAUCUCGUUGAAUUUGGUAAAACUUGAACGAAGAAGAUGAUUUUAUUUCAACACGAGGAAUAGCGGUAGCUGGAAUCCAGUUUUUCACGAAAUUUUCCAGCAUCAUCUUUAUGACCUCCCGUUUGAAUGGGAGACCAAUCUGAUGGUUCCGAGGUUGAGUCAAAAGUCCGAAUAUAUCAACGUGCAGCUGGUUAUUUCGUAAUAAAAUCGGAUGCCAUCCUUGACCAACAUUAACAAAAUUUUUUAGCUAAAUUCGAGUCUGCCCGAUUGCCCAACGAAUAAAAGUUCUUCCUGUUAAACGAAAAAGGAAUAAGGAGGAGAGGAAAAA